rnacentral:lncRNA from 1 species
UUGGAGUAAAAUCCGGUUCUCACAAGGUUUUGUGGUCUCACAAUCAUUGUACGUUACUUGAGGAUCAAGUUAUAGGAUUAGGGAAUGAACUUGGACUUUACCGGUUGCAAAAGGAAUGUAAUAUUAAGUUGUUAUUCUUGCUAAAGGGGUUCCUAAUCCUGAUUGGUUAAGGAGAUAUAGACAUAUUCAGUUACCUAUUAGGUCUCAAUGAUGGGCUAAGCCUAUUAGGUUAAUAUGCCUAUAUAAGUGAAGGUCCCUGCGUUUGCUGAGAUACGCAAUAUUCACAAACUCCCCAUACGGUUUGAUUGCUAAGGAUCAGUACAACGUAGAAGACUCUUUGCACACCAAGGUUUCACGCAUGGCGUCUCCAGGUUAGUUACUUAUAUGUGUUUUAAUCUAUAUAGGCUAAUAUAGUUUUACAUGUGGUAUCAGAGCAUAGCUUGUAUGAUUAAGACCUUAAAAGAAAAUUAAAUUAGAAAACUCGGUAAAGUUCCUUUUCUGUCGUUCAUCAUGUUAUAGUUUAUAGUUUUCUGGUUCAGUUUUUUGCCUUAAAAUAAUUACGCAUGAUGGCUGCUAUAUUUUUCAAUUAUCUGGCAUUCAAAGUGGAUGAUGGGUUUACAUUAUUAUAUUGUUGUGCAUGGAUGCCGUGUUAAUUAACGUAUUGCCAAUAUAAGGACUAAUUGAAAGACAUUGAAACUGGACAUAUAUUUGCAUGAUGGAUUGUUUCCAGGUUCUAGAAAGACAUGUCUGAUGUAAAGAUUAAUAAUCUGACAUGCAUAAAGUAAUAUAUGAUCAAGUUUUUAGGUAUCACUUGGUUGAUAUCGAUUAAAGCAAGCCGUAGCGGCUUAAUUGAUUUUGAGUGGUCUCUAAAUCCAAAGUCCUAUUGAUCAAAUUGUGUUGUUUAAUUAUAACGAUUAUGAUAAUCUUCUUGCUCGUAAGUGUGGAUUAUUUUAAUUGGUUCAAUUAGACAAUAGCAUGGUAUGGAAUAUAUACUGUAAGAAUUUGUGGAAGGUUUUCUUCUUGCUCGUAAGUGUGGAAAAUUUUUCAUGAAAGUAAUUCUUAUAACUAUGUAUUUUAGUGCCACAUACAUAUUAACUUUCUUGCCCGUAGGUGUAAGUUAAUUAUGUUUUGAAGUUUAUGGGGAUUAAGUAUGUAUUGUUUGUUUAAAUCUUCAGCUGUCAAUGCUUCUUUGAAUUUCAAUUCAAUCCAAGCUUUAACUGGGACCAACUAUAAAAAGUGGAAGCAAGACAUAGAGAUUAUUCUAGGACUCAUGGACUUAGAUGUUGCUUUGAGAGAGGAAGAACCAGAUGUUCCUGAAGAGGACGACUCGACUAAGAUUAAAAACAAGUAUGAAAAGUGGCAUAAGGCAAAUAGGAUGGCAAUUCUCAUUAUGAAAAGGGCAAUGUCUGACACUGUGAGAGGUGGUAUUGCUGAUACGGAUAGUGCUAAGGAAUUUUUGGCAUCAAUUGAAGCUAAGUUCAAGGAAUCCGACAAAGCUGAAACCGGAAACCUUAUGAACUCAUUGAUGACAACCAAGUUUGUCGAUGGAAGUGUGAGGGAGCACAUAUUGGGGCUGAUUGAUAUUGCUACUAAGUUAAAUGCUUUGGAUGUUGCAAUUAGUGAUCCAUUCUUGGUUCAUGUGGCUCUCAACUCUUUGCCUUCGGAGUACUCUCAACUGAAAAGCACCUAUAAUGCUCAAAAGGAAAAGUGGGAUCUCAAUGAGCUUAUAGCUAUUUGUGUUCACGAAGAGCAGAACAUAAGACAUGACAAGAGCAUGGUCGCUAAUUUAGUCCACACCCAUGCUAAGAAUUCAGUCAAGGAGAUUUCCAAAAACCCCUCCUACAAACCUAAAGGGUCUAACAACUUCAAGGCAGCAACCAAGCCAAAUGGUUUGAAGUGUUUUUUCUGUAAGAAGUUUGCUGGACAUUUGAAAAAGGAUUGCCCAAAGUAUAGGCGUUGGUUGGAGAAACAAAAGGCUAAAGGUAAGAACAUUGUGUUUGUUUGCUUUGAAACUAGUUUGGUUGAUGUUCCUUCUGAUACAUGGUGGCUUGAUAGUGGUGCUUCUGUGCAUAUUACAAAUACCUUGCAGGGGUUCAUAAGCAAGAGGGUGCCAAACAAGGAUGAAGUAAGCGUGUUCGUAGGUACCGGUGGAGUUCAUUGGAGUAGUUCGACUUGUUUUGGAUUCUGGUUUUGUUUUAGAUUUAGAAGAUGUUAUUUAUGUACCUUCAAUGAGAAGGAAUUUGGUUUCCGUUGGCAAACUCAUCAAGAAUAAAAUUUUUCCUAGUUUUAAUGAAGAUGGCUUCGAUAUUAAUCACAAGUUGAAUUUCGUUGGCAGUGGUCUAUUUGGUGAUGGUUUAUUUAAACUAAAUUGCAAGGUUCCAUUUGUCUCCAUGAACACCGUAGGAGUUAAGAGAAGGAUUUCAACCAAUGAAACUUCAUCCAAGUUAUGGCACAAACGGUUAGGACAUAUAUCAAAGGAACGAAUGCAAACUUUAACAAAAACUGAAAUUUUGCCACCACUUGAUUAUCAAGACAUGGAUGUUUGUGUUGAAUGUAUAAAAGGAAAAAUGGUUAACACCAAAAAGAAGGGUGCAAUUAGAAGCCAAAAUCUGCUGGAACUUAUUCACACCGACAUUUGCGGUCCAUUUCCCACACCAACACAUGAUGGUUUUAAAUAUUUCAUCACCUUCAUUGAUGACUAUUCAAGGUAUGGCUACUUAUAUCUUUUGGCUGAAAAAUCUGCUGCUUUUGAAGCUUUUAAAAUAUAUAAAGCUGAAGUGGAAAACAAAUUGGACUUAAAGAUCAAAGUUGUUAGAUCCGAUAGAGGCGGGGAAUACUAUGGCAAGUAUGAUGAAGCUGGUCGUCGUCCUGGACCUUUUGCACUGUUUUUGGAAAAGAAUGGCAUUGUAGCACAGUACACUAAUCCUGGAACACCUGAACAGAAUGGAGUUUCGGAAAGACGAAAUAGAACUCUUAAAGAUAUGGUGAGGAGUAUGAUGUGCUGCACAAAGUUGCCAAUGUUUUUGUGGGGUGAUGCUAUAAAGACAGCAAACUACAUCUUAAAUAGAGCUCCUAGCAAAUCUGUUCCAAGCACUCCAUAUGAAUUAUGGUACAAGAAGAAACCGAGUGUAUUUCAUCUCAAAGUUUGGGGUUGCAAGGCAGAAGCAAGAGCUUAUAAUCCAUUGGAGAAAAAGUUAGACCCAAGAACCAUUAGUUGUUUUUUCAUUGGAUAUCCCGAAAGGAGCAAAGGUUAUCGGUUUUAUUGUCCAAAUCACACCACAAGAAUUAUUGAAACUGGGAGAGCUAAGUUUAUAGAAGAGUCGGUUGGUGAUUUAGAGGUUGAAAGCUUUAGCUUUGAAAAGGAAAAGGAAUUAAAUAAUGAACAAGGACCUGUUGUACAAGAAGAUGUUGUGGUUAACUUUACCAUGGCAGCAAGUGAUGAAAGUCCAUCUCUUAAUGCUCACGUGGAAAGUGAGCAGCAAGAAAUUGUACAUGAUCACCAUGAUAUACCAAUCCAAGUGAGUGAGCCCAUAGUCCCUGCUAGUAAUACCGAUGACCAAAACCAAGUCCUUUUAAGAAAAUCCCAAAGAAUUAGAAGGCAUGCAAUAUCGGAUGAUUUUAUUUGUUAUCUACAAGAAUCUGAAUUUAAUCUAGGAGAGGUUGAUGAUCCAAUUACAUUCAAGGAGGCCGUGACUAGUUCUCAAAAUGAAGAGUGGUUGAAAGCCAUGAAGUCUGAGCUUGAAUCAAUGAGUAAGAAUGGAGUUUGGGAGCUAGUACAAUUACCAAAGGGGUGCAAGGCUAUAGGAUGUAAGUGGGUAUUCAAAACCAAAAGAGAUUCUAAGGGAGAUAUAGAGCGAUAUAAGGCUAGAUUAGUAGCCAAAGGGUUCACUCAAAAGGAAGGAAUUGACUACAAUGAGACAUUUUCUCCCGUUUCUACCAAAGAUUCAUUUAGGGUCAUAAUGGCACUUGUAGCUCACUUCGACUUGUUUCUACACCAAAUGGAUGUAAAAACUGCAUUCUUGAAUGGUGUUUUGGAUGAAGAAAUUUUCAUGAAGCAACCGGAAGGGUUCAUUCAAGAAGGGAGAGAGAAUUUAGUGUGUAAGCUCAAGAAAUCCAUUUAUGGUUUGAAACAAGCCUCAAGACAAUGGUACUUGAAGUUUGAUCAAGUUAUACAAGAUUAUGGUUUCAUUGAGAACCCGUCCGAUGAGUGCAUAUAUCUAAAAUUCAGUGGGAGGCAUUUUGUAAUCUUGGUACUUUAUGUAGAUGAUAUCUUGCUAGCUAGCACAAAUCUUACCCUACUCCAUGAGACAAAGCUUUUCUUGUCUAAUAGAUUUGAGAUGAAGGAUAUGGGAGAGGCUUCUUACGUCUUGGGGAUAGAAAUUAUCAGAGAUAGGAAGAAUAAAAUACUUGGCUUAUCUCAAAAGACUUAUGUUGAACGAGUUUUGAAAAGGUUCGAGAUGCAGGAUUGCAAUGGUUGUGACAUUCCCAUGGCAAAGGCAGAUAAGCUAAGUAAAUCCCAAUGCCCUAAAACUGAAACUGAAAGGGUAGAGAUGGCUGGAAGACCCUAUGCUUCUCUUAUUGGCAGCCUCAUGUACGCACAAGUGUGCACUAGACCCGACAUCGCUCAAGCAAUUGGUGUUUUGUCUAGAUAUCAAUCUAAUCCAGGUUUUGCUCAUUGGAUGGCUGCAAAGAGAGUCAUGAGAUAUUUGAAAAGGACUAAGACUUAUAAACUCUGCUAUAGAAGGACCAAUAAUCUCGAGUUGAUUGGCUACUCGGAUUCGGAUUUUGCGGGGUGUGCAGAUUCUCUCAAGUCUACUUCCAGCUACGUUUUCAUGCUCGCUGGGGGAGCAGUGUCUUGGAAAAGUGCAAAACAAGGGGAAGUUGCAACGUCUACAAUGCAGGCUGAAUAUGUAGCUUGUUAUGAAGCCACUUCACAAGCUGUGUGGUUGAAGAACUUCAUAUCUAGCAUGAAUGUUGUUGAAUCGAUUGCUAGGCCAAUUCAGUUAUUGUGUGAUAACAAAGCUGCUGUUUUCCAUGCUUGGAACAACAAAAGGUCUAAUGGAACUAGACAUUUGGAUCUCAAGUAUAAGAUGAUUCGCAAGGAAGUCAAGAAGCAGCAAAUUAAAAUUGAUUACAUUGAUACUAAGUCAAUGUUGGCGGAUCCACUCAACAAAGCUCUUCCUAAUGCAGCGUUCCAUGUGCAUGUGAAAAACAUGGGCUUAGUUUUCGAUUUUGAUGCACUGAAUUAGUGGGAGAUUCAUUUAUUUUAGUUAGUUCCCUUGCAUUGAUUCUGGAGUUAAGUCACUAAAACUAUUAGUUUUGGUUGGUUCGUGAGUUUGGAUUAUAAAGUUUGAAGCAUUUUCAGUUAUUUUUAUUAUGAACUUGUUGAUUGUUUUAUAUAUUUGUGUGGCUGUUUGAAUGCAGCUAUGAAGUAAAAAGUAAAGUUAAUGCUUUAAAGUCACAAGCAUUUACAAGAUGAUAUGAAGAAUGUUUUCAGAUACUGUUUUCAUUAAGAGUAGAAAAUUAAGGUGUUCUGAUACAGUUACACCAGUCAUCAUGCUAGAACUGACUGGGUUUUGGACAUAAGGUUUCAGUCGUUAUUCUUCAUUCUUUUAAUAGUUUUGGAGGGCUUCGAUUGAAGCAUUAAGCAGACUUUCAUGGUUUGAUCAAGGAGGACCUUAGAAAUUAAAAUAUCAAUAUAUUACAUCAAGUCUGAUAUUUAUAUUUCGAUUUUCUCACUUAUUGAUGUUUCAUGUGAUGAACCAUGCUCACAUAUGUGAUUAUGAAGACUAUGGACGUUGCCCUUGUCCAGUAGACUUGUUAGUUCUAUGUGAUUGUGCUAAUUGACAGAAGCUAUAAGGAACUUUGAGUUUAAGUGAUUUCCAUGGCCACUAAAGUAAUCCUGAUUUGUUUUCUCUUAAGUUAAGUUUCAUACAAUGCUUGUUUCAACCAAGUGGGAGAAUGUUGGAGUAAAAUCCGGUUCUCACAAGGUUUUGUGGUCUCACAAUCAUUGUACGUUACUUGAGGAUCAAGUUAUAGGAUUAGGGAAUGAACUUGGACUUUACCGGUUGCAAAAGGAAUGUAAUAUUAAGUUGUUAUUCUUGCUAAAGGGGUUCCUAAUCCUGAUUGGUUAAGGAGAUAUAGACAUAUUCAGUUACCUAUUAGGUCUCAAUGAUGGGCUAAGCCUAUUAGGUUAAUAUGCCUAUAUAAGUGAAGGUCCCUGCGUUUGCUGAGAUACGCAAUAUUCACAAACUCCCCAUACGGUUUGAUUGCUAAGGAUCAGUACAACGUAGAAGACUCUUUGCACACCAAGGUUUCACGCAUGGCGUCUCCAGGUUAGUUACUUAUAUGUGUUUUAAUCUAUAUAGGCUAAUAUAGUUU